rnacentral:rRNA from 1 species
ACUUUGCUUCUCAUCGCUGCUUGGGUACUACGAGCAUGUGCUUAAAACUCAAAGAACUUGGCGGCUUGUUAACUACCUAGGGGAAUAUGUGCCUUAAUCCGAUAGUCCUCGACAUAUUUUACUGGGCCUUGAAAAAUCAGUUGGUGUAUUGCCGUUGUCAGCCUGUUGUUGAGCAAAGAGAAACAGGCUUAAAGGAUUCUUUUAAAAGUAGAAGAGUUCCUUGAAUUCAGGUCGUAAUACUGCCUAUGGCUCUAGGGAGUGGGUGUUACAAUUUUAAAUUGAAAUACGGACCUUUUUAUGAAAAAGAAGCGAAGGUGAACUUAGGAGUAAGGGAAGAUUAGUAUGCUCCCCUGAACGUGAAUCUAGCUUGUGUACAAACUGCCCGUCGCUCUCGGUAAGAGCUGAGAU